GACGAACGCUGGCGGCGUGCCUAACACAUGCAAGUCGAACGGACUGACGUUUUCGGAAUGUCAGUUAGUGGCGGACGGGUGAGUAACGCGUGAGCAACCUGCCUAACAGAGGGGGAUAACGUUUGGAAACAGACGCUAAUACCGCAUAACAUAUACUUUCCGCAUGGGAGGUAUAUCAAAGGAGCAAUCCGCUGAUAGAUGGGCUCGCGUCCGAUUAGAUAGUUGGUGGGGUAAAGGCCUACCAAGUCAGCGAUCGGUAGCCGGACUGAGAGGUUGAACGGCCACAUUGGGACUGAGACACGGCCCAGACUCCUACGGGUGGCUG
rnacentral:rRNA from 1 species